GUGAACGCUGGCGGCAGGCCUAACACAUGCAAGUCGAGCGGCAGCGCGGGGGCAACCCUGGCGGCGAGCGGCGGACGGGUGAGGAAUUCGUCGGAAUCUGCCUUUUUGUGGGGGAUAACGUAGGGAAACUUACGCUAAUACCGCAUACGACCUACGGGUGAAAGUGGGGGACCUUCGGGCCUCACGCAGAAAGAUGAGCCGACGACCGAUUAGCUAGUUGGUAGGGUAAAGGCC
rnacentral:rRNA from 1 species